rnacentral:lncRNA from 1 species
CCCCCCCCCCCCCCCCCCCCCCCCCCCCCCCCCCCCCCCCCCCCCCCCCCCCCCCCCCCCCCCCCCCCCCCCCCCCCCCCCCCCCCCCACCCUGCACCCUACUCUGAGAGCAUCCCUGUCACCCUGCUUGUCACCAGGCCCCUGACACUGUCGUCAGUCCUGAGCUGCUGCCUGGGUGUUGCCAUCCAUCCCUGCAGGAUGUCAGUUUUUGUCCCAAUGAAGGUACAGUGCCAUUCCAUGGAAGUGGGCUGGAGCUCUGUGGGGGAUGGUGCGGGACAGGGACCCCACUCUGAGGUUUGGCUCCCUGUGCAGGCUGCCACAGACACUGAGGAGAUGGAGGUGGACAUUAAGAUAGACGUGGAGGAAAACAUUGAAGCAGAUGUAGACAAUGGAGAGGAAGAGAUGGAGGUGGAGCUGGAGCUGGGGGUGGAGGAGAUGGAGGAAGAGAUGUAUGAAGGGAUGGAUGUGGAUGUGGAGGAGAUGGAGGAAGAGAUGGAGGUGGAAAUGGAGGAUUAUGCUGAAGACAUGGAAGUGGAUGAGAAAGGACCCAUGGAGAUGCCAGGCAGGGAUGCCACCCAUCUGGAUAUAUGUAGAGUGUUCUUCAGUACUCUUCUGUAUAUACAUUUUAGAGAGCAUUGUUGUCUUUUGUAAGUAUGUUUAAUACAUAGUUGUUAUAUAGGUUCUUGGGUAAAUAUGUUUUAUAUUUUAUUGUUGUUAUAGAGUUCAUUACCAUUUAAAUAUAUGGUGUAGUUCACUGCUGUUUCUGCUUUUCUGCAAAUAAACUAUCUUUUUUUUUUCACACCCCAGCCCUCUUUCCAUUUGCUUUGGGCACAGGCAGCAUGUGCAGAGUUGUGGUUUCCUCUUGCUGUGGGUUCCCUGGGCUGGAGAUGUCUGGGCAUGCAGGGUUGGGGGUCCCUGUGCACAGAGCAGGUCCCACUUAGAGCUCUGUACACACUUGGGAUUUGUAGAGGCAGAUCCCACAGGGCCCUUUCCCACGGAUUACAUCUGGGAGCAGGGCCGAGCCUGCUGGGUCCUGCAGAGCCUCCUCAGUGACACUUCACUAGAUGGCACCAGACACCAGUGCUAGGAGGGUGAGGCUGGGCUGUGGGCACCCCCUUCUCUUCUCCUGGGCACCCCGAGCAGCUGGAGCCAGCCUGGAGCUCAGGGGAGAUUCCUGGGCAAAGAGCUGGGCAGGGAUGGAUGGAUGGAUGGAUGGAUGGAUGGAUGGAUGGAUGGAUGGAUGGAUGGAUGGAUGGAUGGAUGGAUGGAUGGAUGGAUGGAUGGAUGGAUGG